AGGGCUCUGAUCAGGAUGAGAGAACAAGAUGGAGAGUCAGACUUCCGAGUCCCUAGGUUCUCAGCACUUGACCCUCACAACGUGGCAUUCCUUCAGGCUCUGGCCUGACAAAACCAUGGAGUCCCCAGGAGAACCAGAUGUUCGGUCACUGCUGUAAGAAUGUGAGACUGAGAGGUCUACGAACACUCACUGAAUCUCGACAACCACAAACACCCAAUUCAGGGCACCGGAGCCUCUUCCCCAACCUUAGGGAUGAUAAAACCAAGACUUGGAGAGAGUUUGAGUUACCUGCCCAUGUUCAUAUAGCUG